UACAGAGGUCUCAAGCGUUGUUCGGAUUCAUUGGGCGUAAAGGGUGCGUAGGCGGCGCGGUAAGUCGGGUGUGAAAUCUCGGAGCUUAACUCCGAAACUGCAUCCGAUACUGCCGUGCUUGAGGACUGGAGAGGAGACUGGAAUUUACGGUGUAGCGGUGAAAUGCGUAGAUAUCGUAAGGAAGACCAGUGGCGAAGGCGGGUCUCUGGACAGUUCCUGACGCUGAGGCACGAAGGCCAGGGGAGCAAACGGG
rnacentral:rRNA from 1 species